rnacentral:rRNA from 1 species
UACGUAGGGGGCAAGCGUUGUCCGGAAUCAUUGGGCGUAAAGAGCGUGUAGGCGGUCCGGUCAGUCGGUUGUGAAAGUCAAGGGCUCAACCCUUGAAUGCCGGCCGAUACUGCCGGGCUAGAGUCCGGAAGAGGUGAGUGGAAUUCCUGGUGUAGCGGUGAAAUGCGCAGAUAUCAGGAGGAACACCGACGGCGAAGGCAGCUCACUGGGACGGUACUGACGCUGAGACGCGAAAGCGUGGGGAGCAAACAGG